UACGUAGGGGGCAAGCGUUGUCCGGAUUUAUUGGGCGUAAAGAGCGUGUAGGCGGCUAGAUAGGUCCGUUGUGAAAACUCGAGGCUCAACCUCGAGACGUCGAUGGAAACCAUCUGGCUAGAGUCCGGAAGAGGAGAGUGGAAUUCCUGGUGUAGCGGUGAAAUGCGCAGAUAUCAGGAAGAACACCCGUGGCGAAGGCGGCUCUCUGGGCCUUACCUGACGCUGAGGCGCGAAAGCUAGGGGAGCGAACAGG
rnacentral:rRNA from 1 species